rnacentral:rRNA from 1 species
UACAGAGGGUGCAAGCGUUAAUCGGAAUUACUGGGCGUAAAGGGCGCGUAGGUGGUUGGCUAAGUCAGAUGUGAAAACCCUGGGCUUAACUUAGGAAUUGCAUUUGAAACUGGUCGACUAGAGUUUGGGAGAGGGAAGUGGAAUUUCAGGUGUAGCGGUGAAAUGCGUAGAUAUCUGAAGGAACAUCAGUGGCGAAGGCGACUUCCUGGCCCGAUACUGACACUGAGGCGCGAAAGCGUGGGGAGCGAACAGG